AUGGGACGCAAUGACACUACCUCGCGAUUCAGUCUACAAUGCUGUACUACAAUACUGAAGCCCUUAAAUGGUUCAAAAAGAAAGAGGAAGAGGAAGAGAGAUAGACAACUUAAAGUCUUACACCCACAGCACAUUGUGACAAUUCUGAGAGGAAGUCGCAGGAGCCUGUAUCAGAAAGGAAAUAUAAAGUAAGCCAAGCUUCAUUUAGGCUACUCUCAGAAAAUAAGUCUAGUGCAUGAUCUGUGUAGUAAGCUUGUAAAGGGUGAUUGUUCAGUUUUCAUUAGUUUAAGCAGCUGUUGUGACAUAUGGGUGUGUUUAUUGUGAUGGUGGGUACCAACAUAUACAUAUUAACCAGAAAUGAAACAUUUUCUUCCAUAAAGCCAUAUGCAGAGUUCAAACAUGUUAUGCUGCCCAAUAUAAAGGAAAUUAAAUUACCUUUGUGUUGAGUCUUGUUUAUAGAGACACUAUGUUCAGGGCCCCUUUAAGAGAUAUUCAGUCAAUCUCCUUAUAAGGCAAUCUCUGAAUGAGUCACAUGGUAUAGUACUUUGGAAAGCCAAGGCGAAGUCACAUGACUCUUUAAAGCGGAAAUUAGAAAGAGUGAUUGGGACUCUCUGCUUUUCUUUCUCCUGUCAUUGCAUUUAUUCAGUAUGAUUCUAAUUCUUUUUAAAGCAUUAUUGUCUCUUUACCAUGUAUAACAUAGGAGACUAGAAAAACACAAUAAGAUUACAUACAAAAACACUAUAAAUGGCCUACUGACUGUCUCCACCCAUCAGACCUAAAGUACCCUAUAUGGAAACAUUGACAGGUAACACACACUCAUGCAAAGAUCUGAUGAGAUCUACUGGUGGAUGCUGCUCUGUCUAAGAAAUGGGAACAGGUAGACUCUAAUAUGGAAAUAUAACCAAAAAAGGUUGACAGAAAGGAACUAAGCAUGAUUGGUCUUAUGAGUUAGGUACACGACACAUGCCAUGAUGUAACCCCAAUGUUUGUUUUCUGCAGGUACAGACCUUUCCUAUGUGUAUUCCAUGUAUGGCAAUGGGUCAGUCCUGCUUAAUCCUUCUAAGAGCAGUUCAAAGAUCAGUGCUUUGCAUCUAGUUGAGAUAUGUGGUAGAAGCCAACAUUAUGUUGCCUAAUUAGGCUACUACUGUAACAACAAGGUAAGGAACUUUAAUAAAAUGCAACACAAUUUAUACUCCAAAUAAGUUCUCUGAUUGUUCAUACUAAAAAGGAAAAGAGGAUGGUUGCUCAAGUGGCUGUCAUUUCAGGAAUGUAUAUGUGUCAGAACAUGCAUAAACUCAGGAACAUUAAAAAAAAAGAUUUAGUUUAACUUUUCACGUGGCUGCAGACAUGCAUGCAAUCAUGUCAAGUGAUUCUCCAUUUUAAAAAUUUGAAAAAAUUUAUUAAUUUAUUGAAAAUUUAAAAUUAAAUUAUAAAAAAAACAAUAAGAUGCAAUGGAAGUAGGUUUAAUUUCUAUGUUAUGUAUACUGUUUAUUUAGCAGAACAGCAUUUUAUUUAUAUAAUAACCUAAUUAAAAUUGAUUUUUUUAAACCUAAUUAAAAGUAAUUAUUUUUUAUUUUAAUAUUUAAUAUAAAAUGUUUUUAUUAUAUUUAGAAUUUUAUAAUUAUUUAAAUUUCUCUUUCAACACUGUUCUUUUGAGCUUUCUAUUCAUCAAAGAUGUAUCACUGAGAACAACUGUUUUCAAUAAUAAUAAGAGAUGUUUUUGAGCACAAAUUCAGCCUAUUAGAAUGAUUUCUGAAGCAUCAUGUGACACUGAAGACUGGAGUAAUGGAAAAGUUAUUUUAAAUUGUAAUAAUAUUUCAUAAUAUUACUGUUUUUACUGUAUUUUUGAUCAAAUAAAUGCAGACUUAAAUGCAACUAAAAUCUCACCAACCCAAACUUUACAAAUCAAUAGAAUUAUGCAAUUUAAAUAAUUGAUAAUUAUAUUUUCUACAGGGGCAAACUGCAAAGAGUUGAAUUUCAACAAGCACAAUAGUUCCACUCAUAGAUCAUGCAAGAUUUUAUGCACGGAUAUGUAAUACUUUCAUGACAGAAUGAGUUUGGUUUCAAAUGUUCAAGCUGCCUUGACAUUUUGGAAUACCUGCUUUAUCAAGGGCACAAAUCCCCAACAGACAACAUCAGAAAGGAGCAGUCUAAAUGUUGCCAUGUUUUUGACUUUGAUCCAUUGAGGUACUUGGACAAAGAAGGAGAUACAAAAUAUGUUGUUUGAGCUGAUGUUUACAAAAACAUUGGCCAACAAAAGAGUCUUAACCUGAGAAAUAUGCCAAAGUGAGAAAUAUGCCACAUUGUACAUCAGCAAUUCUGAUGAUAUCUUCUGCUACUUAUUUUUGAAUUAAUUGGGUAGAAAACAACUAAUUCUAGCUUGCAGCAUUAGGAUGAUAUUUUCACUUAAUGGUUUCAUUAGUUGGGUUUGACAGAUGAACCUCAUUAAAUCCAGAGAUCUGCACAUUGUGCAUGGUUUACGCUACUUCAUAGCACACAGUGAUUAUGGGUGUAUCUCUAUCAUGCUGAUUUUGAUCUGACAGAACAGUCUGGAAGCCUGGAAACAGGUCAACAAUGUGUAACCCUGGGCCACAUCAGAGUCCAGUGAAGCUUGUUAAUUAGCUCCUUAUAUGUAUAUGAACGCAACCUAAACAUAGUUGUUUUAGUCUAUGUUAAAAAAAGGUAAUAAGUGUUGAUUAUCAGUGUAUGGUAACAUUUAAUUCUUGUCACAGAGGUGCUUUGUCUUGACCAAUCAAGAGUGUUUGUGCCACACAAUUAUAGCAGUUGUUUAUAUUGGCAAAUUUUACAUUUCAUAUUGAGUCUAUUUGUAACUAGAAUUUUAAAUCUGAAAUCAAGUACAUCUACAUUUGUCUGUAUAAAAAAUAACUGAUGUGAAUAAUAAAUGAUCCCUAAUGCAAUCAAUAAUUAUACCUCUUGAUUACCCAUGUGUGCAUGUGCAGAAAAGAAAGGGAGAGAAUAUGAGUGGAGAUAUUUAAUUUCCAUGAAACAGUCAGCAGAGCAUAAAGGACCCAAUCAAUAUCCUGUCCUUUACAAGAGGAAGAGGAAAGCUGCUGUUUGCCCUCAAAAUAACCUGAGCAAGUUCCUGUUUCCUUCAUAAUUUCCUUAUUUCAGCUGAGCAGAGGAUAUAUAUAUAUAUAUAUAUAAACUGGUGAGGAUCCGAGGGGAUUUGUAGUUCUCAGUAGUAGUUUGUGAACAAAUAAUUGUGAACAA
rnacentral:lncRNA from 1 species